AGCUCCUUUCCGAUGAAGGAGCUGUGUCUGCAAGAAACCGCCUUAGCGCCACAGCGGGAUGCUGAUGCACCGCGAGGGGAAACUGUGAUCAAGUACCAGCUGGGCAUCGGUCACAGAUUUCACUUUAACAAAAGUCAAGGAAAGAAUGCUGCAAGAAGUUGAGUCAUUCAAACAGGCUUCAUGGAACCACAUUUUUGUGUAGAGUGAACCCCUUCAUGUGGCUCUGCGCUUUAAGCCGCUUCUGCCUUUCUCCCCUUUCCACGUCUGUGCUGGUGGAACAAUAGCAGUGAAGUGAGAGCUACACCACAGGUCAGUCACAGUGCUGUCAUCAGCCCCGUCACACACUGUCCUGAGAUCUGGGACUGACGGCAGCCACACUGCUGGGGUGAGGGCUCCUACCUUGAGAAGAAGGGCAGCGUUACACCCUGCCAACUUCAGAAAAACAGCUGGUAAAUAGUAAUGGUUCCCUAAACCAGCUGGGAAAAUUUAUGGAAUGAUGUAAACCCUUAAUUGUAACAAUUGCUUUGGUGACAGCCUCAGUCAGCAUCCACAAACACACACAGGCAGAGGCUUCAUUGAGCAAUUGCUCAGUGCUGUCAGCAAACCCUGCUGCCUCUGGGCUGGUGGCAGUGCUGUGAAGGCUGUAAUGUUUGAUUUCUGUGUCACCUGCAUGUUCACACAAGCAUCCUUACCAAGGGCUGGGGAUCCUCAGCAUCAACACAGGCUGUUGCUAAGGUGUGUCCCUUCACAGGGUGCCAAACUUCUGCAUUACAGAAUUAAUUUCCUCAGGCAAGGUGCAGCAGCUGAAGUACACAGUGCAGCACACCUUCCUAAGGCAAUCACUCAGGGUUUUAGAGAACAAAAUUUGCAUGGAUGUUCACAAUUAUUUCCCCACCUGGGUUUGCUCACCAUAUGUUUGAGUGUGGUUUAGAAGCUUUGAAAACCCAAAUGGCUUUGCCAGAGGAAGCAGACUGAGGAGCACUGUAAGAGAAAGUCUUAGCAAACAGCAGUGGGACAUCUGCUUUGAGCUCUGUCCUUAGUCUUUCCAGUGUGAAAUAACUGCAGGGAACCAGGAGCACCAGACUUAGGUGUCUAAACAUUACAGAAAGUUUGAGCCUGAGGAUCCUGAGACAAAAGAGACCUGAUAAGGCUGCCUGUCUGAUCAAGGAGACAAAGAGCUGUCUGUACUGCUGUGGAAGAAAACCAAAAGAACCUCAUCACAUCUAUCAGCAUCUUUGGAUGUUUCCUCAGGAUAAUCUUGCCUACUAAAAUUUUAAGAAAAAUAAAUUAAUUUGCAUGGUGAGCCCUGACAUCAGCCAGACCACCACAUUUGCAUCUCAUCCACCCACCAGCACAUCACACUUGUCAGUGCCACGUCUCCAUGUGUCUAGAUUAUUUAUCCCUGCAGUGCAGCCACUUGUUCUUUACUUGGAAGUCUGGAUCACUGCCAUGCCUGUAGGAAUCUGGAAGGAGGAGAGCAAGUCCCAGAUAGGACUGUGUCCAGUGGGCAACAGCAGUGACACAAACCUAGCACUCAACUGCUUCAGCUUCUUCAAAGCCUCCAUCUUCGGUCAUUCAGGACUUACCUGCACUCCUGGAUAGUAGGUAUGAUACCACUAGAUUUGGGACUGGAGGGAAUGCUUCCCAGAUAGCUUAAGCCUUCAACUAAUAAAUAAUUUACUAUUAACUUCUUGUGAUCUAGUUUCAUGUGAUAAGGUAGAACAUCAGGAAGAUAAACUGGGACACACAUUCUCUUCUUAGUCCUUCAUACACAACCAACAUGGAACAUCCUUUUUCCUGCUAAGACCCCUCUGGUGGCCAUGCCUAAUCAUCCUCCCCUCACCUCUCUGACAAACCUACUCAAUGGCAACAAAACAUCUUCUUGCUGUUUCUCUUCACCUUGUAUGGCAAAAAUGAGUCCUAAAAUACCUUUCCCCUUAAAACACCUGAUGUUCUCUCAUUACUAUCCUGCUGUACUCUGGGAGGGAGGUCAGUGUCCCUCCACAUCACCUCCACGCACUACUGAGUGCCUGUUCAGCACUGCCCUUCCACAAAAAGUGCUUUCUUCCAAACAGCAGGAACUACUCCCCUCUCCAGCUCCUGUCUGUGCUAAGAAACCAGCUCUGACCCAUUUAAUGAAGGCAGAUCAUUAUUUGUUUAAAGAGUUCAUUGGCCAUUACUUUAUUUCAACUAGUAAAACCCGAAAAAAAGCAAACUUUUAUUUCACAUUUUGUUUCAGUGAUCAAAGUUUGAAAUGCGGGGAAUAAACAUUAACAAAGAGCUCAGAUAUAAAUGGCAUGUUUUUAAUUGUAAUUUAAAUUAUAAUUUUUUAUAAUUUUAAUAUUAAUUAUACUUUUAAUCUCAAGUGCUUCUUAAUAGGAAGUAAAAUCCAGUUAAUAAACAGAAGUGGAUUUCACAGACAUACAUCAGAAAUACAUACUGAACUCCACUUCUAGGUAUACAAAGCAGAAAGCUCAUGAAUGCAUGCUAUAAGUUGCUUUAAUUAAACUCCAGUCUAUUAAAAAAUACAAGUAUGAUAAGUGUAAAGACGUGAAAGAAUAAGUGAAAAAAAAGGGUAACGUGCAGGAAAUAACAUCUAUACUCAUGAGACUGUGAAAUAGCUUUGGUGCCAGCCAUCUCAAUUACUGCAAAUACCACUGGUUAAUACUGGCAGGGAGUUUUACCAGUGAACGCAGGCAGAGAGCAGCCAGAUGCCUUCAAAGACUGAUCCAACAAGUGACCAGUGUGAAGGGAAGGAUGCAGAAUUUGUCCUUUCAUGUGCAGCCUUCUGAAACAGCACGUUGAGACUGGGUGGUCAAACUCCACAGCAAAACAGGAUUCCUUAUUCUCUUCGGCUACGGCACUUUUCAGUGUUUUGCAGAAUGCUGAACUUAUUUUUAUUAAAGAAGUUCAACUUUUAUUUUUUUUCUAUUUUGCUUCAGAAUUUCAACUGGAUUUGACUGUUUAAACCAAAUAUAUUCUGUAUCCUGUAAGGAAAAAGGAGUUACAGUUUGUAAAUCAGCUGAACAGUUGUCAAAGAAAAUAGUGUGAUACUUCAGCUUGUUAGUGCUCCAUCGCUGAAUUGUUGGGGUUUUUACUCUAAAAAAAAACCAGGAGGAUUUAAACAGGUUUUAAAUACUGCAGGGUUUUCAGGGUUUGUUUUUUUGUUUUUUGGGUUUUUUUUCUUCUCUGGUAAUAGCACAUUUUAAAUGUUACAAAUAUAAUUUUGUUUAUAUUUUCAAACUCAGACUUAUUUUUUCAACUAUGUGCAUAGAUUUACCCUCUGGGUAAAGUCUACCCUGGUUUUCACUAAAUACAUUUAGCAAAAUAGAGCAGCAAGAUACAGUACAAACAACAUGUACCAUAAAAGUACCAUACUGGUAAUUUCAGGUGCUGUUUGUUUCACAAAUCAAAUAUUAUUUGAUAUGCUAAAUUUAUCUUGUCCUUUGAAAGAUUUUCUAUGCAACCUGAAAACUCAGUGCAAUGCAUAAUUUGAACUGAUUUAUGACAUCUUCAUUCAGAGAAAGACUAUGUGGCACCAAAUAAGACUAAAAUGGCUGUAUCAAUGUAAAUAGCUGGAUUUUCAGUACAUCUUCCAGAAGACUGCCAGCCUCCAUUAAACAACUUCAGCUGAUGGAGAUCAGCUCCCUUUUUCCCAGGGAGAAGUUCUUCUUACAGGUUCAGAAACGCCUUUUGAACAUGAAUGGUUUAACUUCAUUCAAACACGAAUGGUUUAACUUCAUUCAGAUAACAAGAGGAAAGCAAAUAAAGAAAUACUUUUUGUAAGAGAGGGUGCUUAUGAGAUUCUGCACUGCCCCUCACCAUAAGGGAGCCAGUCCUCCAGGCCCUGACUUAUCUCUGUGCCCCUUUUCUCUCAGUUUCCUUCUCAUCACUGCUGUGAGCAUUCAAACAGCACUUUAACUUCCCAUUCACUGCUUGGGUACUUGGUGGUUAAGCACCCAGAGAAGUCACAGCCUCUUUGCCUGCAAGGAUCACCCUGGGACUUCUGAGUCUGUUUUUCCUGGUGCAGCUGCCCUGGAACACACAAAGUGCUACAGUCUCAAUCUGCCACUGAUGCGUUUCACUGCCAAUGUUUUGAUUAUUGCUUAAUAUUUCACACUUCUUUGAUAAUUUACCUAUUUUUAAGCCCACAGUAUUGCUGUAAUUUCAAAAUGACUUUGCAUUUAUCUUUUGUAGAGCUUUUACCACAAAAGCAAUUUUUUUCAGAGGUUUCUAAAAAGGAGGAACAGCACUAAAAAAUUAAAAAUCAGCAUUUUAAGAAGGUGGCAGCAGCCUGGAAAUACACAUUCUACAUAACCUAAAGGAAGUCUUUAGAGGUCAUGAAAGAAAAGAUGCUGUAAACAUUAGGAUGAAAGAACUAGUUCAAGUUCCUCACUCCUGUAUAAAUCUGUGUUCAUGUGAACAAUUCCCAGCAUUGUUCUGUCUCAGCUUCUCACACAGGAGAAAUAAAAACAUUGCAAUAUUUUACUAACUCACAGAGCCCUACUAAAAAAUACUUGUGUUUUAGGUGCAAAAAUACUACAGUAGUGAGUAGAGCAACAAAAUGCCACAUCUAGUUACUGAGAAAUAUCCACUCAGAAGCUCUUACUAUACAACAGCAUAUUUUAUUACUAACAAAUACAGUAAUAACAAAACUACUGAACAUGUGUAUAAAGUUACCUGGUUACAAACAGAAGUAGAAAAAUGAAGGGUAUUUAGUGCAUAUCUUUCUUACUGUCCACUCAGUAGCAAGAAUUCUGUGUACUUUUAAUGGGAAAAUUCUAAAAGAAAGAGCAUAUCCCAUUGAAGGCAAUAAAUUACAAAUGCUAAAAUGCAGACACUGUAAUAUAAAGAAAUUUCAUUUUUAAUGCAUGAUGGAUAAAACAAAUAACUUUGGUUUAUCAGAACCAUAGUUCCUGUUGUUCCAGCAUUUGCAUGUCCUUUGUACCAUGCAAUUUUCAUUGUUCAAUGUAUCACCAUGAAUGUUGCCCCAACUCACAGUACAUUCUUUGCAUAAUACCAUAACAUUGAAACAUAUUCUUAUUAGUGGUCAAAUGCAAGAUACUGGACAGUUUUACAAAAUGCACUGACAUUCAGGUUUAGAAAACAGGAAAAUCUGUCUCCAAAUUAUCUCAAGUAAUAACUCCAAUUGGCUCUUAAAAAAUUUGUGACUCAAAUGAAGUCAGACAAUGAAAUUGUUAUCCACAUCAGCAGUACUUGCUCCUGAGAACCACCUAGCAUAAGAAAGGCUAUAUGUAUUAAGGCCUUUUUGAUUUAAAGAAAAUAUAUUCCUGUAGCAUAAUAGAAAAGUAGGCUUUGUAGAAAAUGAGGCUUUGGAGGAAAAGUACUACGGCUGUCUUCUCAGUAAAUAGAUUGUUAAAGAAGCCUGCAUAUUAAUAACUCACCAGUUAUUUGCAGCAGUUAUCUGCAAGGUAUUUCUCUAUAA